CUCUUCCUCACUUUUCCUCUCUGCCCAUCGCGCUCUCUCUCUCUCCCCGCUACUCUCGUCAACAACGACAGCAAAAUCGACGACGGAGGUGGAAACGAACAACUCCACGACAGCACCAAAAUCCUUUGGGUUUUCCGGUUUCGCAUCUACGAUAUGGACAGUUCAAAUUUUUCGUUGGGCGGUUCAAAUUUAUAGUUGCACGUCCAAGAUAGGACCAAAAAGUAAUGAAGUAGGAUAUGGAGGGGAGCUGAACCCCAAAGAGUCUCAGGGGGAAAAAACCGAUAACCACCAGGUACAAUGAAGUAGUACAUCCAAUUCUAUUAGUACAUUCAACUUUGGUAAUACGACAUUUCUAGUUGGACCCAUCAAACGGUCACUUUCUUUUGUUCUCAGACAUUAGUCUUGUGUGUGGCUCUCUUUCCUUAUCUCUUCCUAAACCCCCCAUCUUUUUUUCCAAACACAAGUACAUAAAAUGAGCAUGCCAAAAGCCAAAAAAAAAAAGGAUUAAUCGUUCAAUAUAGUGCGUGCAUUAUCUCUAAAUUUCUUCCCUUCUGUUGGUCUUUCGAAAUCAGUGUUAAAACCAAGAACCAUGUCCGAAGAAAGGAACGAGAAGCCGGAGGAACAACAAUGGCAACAGUGGCCCGAACUAAAGCUACCGGAGUUGCUAUAUGCGGACACGAUUAGGAAACUACACGAAGUGAUAUGGCAAUAUGUUGAUUAAUUAACUACUCUAAGGACCAAGAACCCAAGGCCUUCACUCUGAGCCCGUGGCCCAACUCCAGACUUGGAAUGGGCAGGCCAGAUUAAUUAACUACUGUUUGUUGGAUAUCAAUUAACUAUCUUGAUUUCCUCUCUGUGCCACUGCUUCCUGUAAUUUUAUUUUACCAGCAUUCAUGUUAGUUUCUUGUUCAAUGUUUCCAUCUCUUGAUAGCUUAUUGCUGACAUAUUUGUCCUGCUGUUCCAUCAGAAAACUGAAUUUUAUUGAAUUGGUCUGCCCGUUUGGGUUUCUCGAUCGACUGACUUUUUUAUUAGUUUGCUUUUGCAGGCAAUGCACCUUUGGUAAUAGCAUAAGGGAUGGCCUGUAGUAUUGUAUAACAGUGAUAGAACUCUGUUUAGUUUCCUCACGUAGAUACCAACUUUGAUUUACCAUUGCCUUAUUGUGGCAGGGAAUCUCUAAUCUUGGCCCCUGAUGGAAGACUUACUAGUUCUUUAACAAAGGCGACGCAAGGAGGAGCAGGAGGAGGAGAAGAGUCGACUGGAGGAAGAGCAAAAGCAACGUGAGGAGGAACAAAGAUUUGUCCUCUUGUUGGUGAAAUGCUUGAAAAGGUCAAGAUUGGAGGAUGGUGGGGGCAUAACCAUUUGAAGGAAGUUAGAGUUCGUGGAUUUUGUGGGAGCGAGUCUCAAAUCGAGUUUGCUAUGCACUUGGUGAAAAAAGCUAUCGAUUCUUGAACAAAUGGUAGUGUGACCAUUAGAGUGAAUCUUGUUUUUUGGUCAUCCGUUUAUUGAAGUAGAACUUUUUAGUAUUUUGCGGUCUAAGGGUUUGAAUAAAUUUUGUUACGAAACUUAGAUUUUUUUAUUUUUCCAUUGUGGUUGGACGCGUUAUUUUGCGCUCUAGGAAUUUGGAUACAAGUUGUUUAAGUAUUUGUUGGACACCUUUACUUAUGAAAGCUUGUAUUUAUUUAAUGGAAUUUUUAUUU